rnacentral:rRNA from 1 species
AUUGAACGCUGGCGGCAUGCCUUACACAUGCAAGUCGAACGGCAGCACGGACUUCGGUCUGGUGGCGAGUGGCGAACGGGUGAGUAAUGUAUCGGAACGUACCUUUCAGUGGGGGGAUAACGUAGCGAAAGUUACGCUAAUACCGCAUAUUCUGUGAGCAGGAAAGCAGGGGAUCGCAAGACCUUGCGCUGAUUGAGCGGCCGAUAUCAGAUUAGCUAGUUGGUGGGGUAAAGGCCUACCAAGGCUACGAUCUGUAGCGGGUCUGAGAGGAUGAUCCGCCACACUGGAACUGAGACACGGUCCAGACUCCUACGGGAGGCAGCAGUGGGGAAUUUUGGACAAUGGGGGCAACCCUGAUCCAGCCAUGCCGCGUGAGUGAAGAAGGCCUUCGGGUUGU